rnacentral:rRNA from 1 species
CUCCUACGGGAGGCAGCAGCAGGGAAUAUUGCACAAUGGGCGCAAGCCUGAUGCAGCAACGCCGCGUGCGGGAUGAAGGCCUUCGGGUUGUAAACCGCUUUCAGUAGGGAAGAAAAUGACGGUACCUACAGAAGAAGCCCCGGCCAACUACGUGCCAGCAGCCGCGGUAACACGUGGGGGGCAAGCGUUGUCCGGAUUUAUUGGGCGUAAAGGGCUCGUAGGCGGCUUGACAAGUCGGGCGUGAAAACCCGGGGCUUAACCCCGGGACGCCGUUCGAAACUGUCAUGGCUAGUUUCCGGUAGAGGUGAGUGGAAUUCUCGGUGUAGCGGUGAAAUGCGCAGAUAUCGAGAGGAACACCAGUAGCGAAGGCGGCUCACUGGGCCGGUAAAGACGCUGAGGAGCGAAAGCGUGGGGAGCAAACAGGAUUAGAUACCCUGGUAGUCCACGCUGUAAACGUUGAACACUAGGUGUGGUGGACAGAUCCAUGUCUGCCGUGCCGAAGCUAACGCAUUAAGUGUUCCGCCUGGGGAGUACGGCCGCAGGGCUAAAACUCAAAGGAAUUGACGG